rnacentral:lncRNA from 1 species
CCCACUUCCGUCACGGACUUCCCUUAAAAACCACAUUAACGCGGCUUUUAUUAUUCUCAUUACUAUUACAGCCGUCAUCUUUCUUUUCACGCGCCGAGGUGGCGAUCCCCCCCAAUCUCUCGGCCGGUGAGUCUGCAUUUUCCCCGCACGCCGCUCCUUUUUAGGCAGCCGAAGGCAGCGAGCGCCCGGCCCGGCCCUCCCGCCCCGCCCGGGGGGUGCCCGGGGGGCUCGGAGCCGCCAUUACCGGGGACGCCGUGCGGGCAGCCCCCUCCUUCCCUCCCUCCCUCCCUCCCUCAGGACGGCUGCGUGCCGGGCUGAGCACGGAGCGAGGCAGCGGCCUCCAUGUUUGAUCCCGGCGGCCUGUCAACGGCUGGGCGCAGCGGGAGGGCCUCCCCAGGGCGCGGGCAGAGAGCCCCGGAGCGGCUCGUUCCCCCCUCCCGCCGCCUUUUAAAGCCGCGUCACCUCCCUCUCGCUCGGAGCCCGCAGCCCUGCGGCACGCCGCCGCCUCGCCCCCCGCCCCCCGUUUUCCUUUCCCCCUGGAGAGCCAGGGCUGCCCGGGCCUCGGCCCCGGCUCCCGUUGCGGGCCGGCCGCCGGGCGCUGCCCCCCGCCCCGAGCCGCACCUGUCACCGGCGGCACCGCCUCGGGGCAGCCGCGGAGCGCCCACGAGAUGCGGGGCCCCACGCGGCCGCCACCUGGGCGCCACGGGGCACCUGACAAAGCCGCUCCCCGGCCGCCGCCGCCCCGCUCCCCGCUCACCAGAUCGGAAGAACGCCGCGAUGUCCGCCGAGUCCUUGGCCGCCUCCUCGGCCCCUUCUCCCCCGCCGCUGCCGGCCGUGCUGGCCGCGGCGGUGGAGGCGGUGGUGGCGGCGCUGCUCAUGGCUGCGGCGUGCGGCGGCGCUUCCUCCGGCUGAGACCCGCCGCCGCCACCCCCGCCGCCCCGCUCCCCUGCGCGGCCGCCGCCGCCUUCACCUCGGCGCGGGCGCGGCUCUCAGGGCGGCAGCCGGAGCGGAGCGGGCGAGCGAUGCGCGGCGGGGGCGGCUGCCGCCGGCCGCAGGGACAUGAAGUUAUCUCUAGGAAACAUCAAAGUAUCUUCUAUCAUGGACGAGUCAAAUGAACACAAAGUAAGCAAACAGCCUGUGAUAGAAGGUGCGGUUGGGUGCCUGGUUAAAGCACGUCCUGGUACAGCAGUGGUUCUCAUGUGGCACUACCACAGUAGUUAUCUAAAGGAGAGGUUGGAGGAGGAGUGCUGAAGAAGGCUGUUGAGCACCUUCAGGAACUGAUAAAGCUGAAGAACACUUCUCAAAUGCUUGUAGUAAAUCAUAAGAAACGUUGCUACGUCCGGUUGAAAAUCACAUGGCUUCAAGAAUCAGAUUCCUGAGCCUUUGCUGAGUGUUAAAAGCAAAAGUGACUUCAAGAGAAAGUGGGGCUUUGUUAGUUUAUCGCAGACAGGUGAUGUGGAAGAUGUUUUUCCAAGGCAAUGGGCACAGGAAAGUGUUUCAAAUUAGCAUCCCGCUGGCAGAAGCGGUUGCAACGUGAAUUCCUUUCUAGCCGGCCUAGCAGCAGCCACCAAGCAGAAACCAACUGGAAUAAAUGCUUCUGCUCCUGAGCAAGCUGGAAGCAGACCUGGGAGCAGGAAUUAGAUGAUAUUCUACACCAGCACAGAAUAAACUGUGUGAGAAUGAGAGAAAAUGGGAUCGGUGAAUGAAAAGGGUUAAUAUAAUGAGUAAAGAAAAAAAAUGGAUAUCCUGGAAAUUCCAUAAUUCAAGCUCUUAGUUACUUCAGAGCAAGGUGGUACUCAGAAUUAUUUGUUUUCUGAAUUUAAAUUGACUUUUUAUGUGCAACAGUGGAAAUUAAUGGUUUCCGCUGUUGUUGUCGAUUGUCAUCUGAAGUCAGUUGUGCCAUUACUGGCUUUGCAAGACUGUUCUGUCCAUCAGCUAUUUGAAAAGGGGAUGCUGCCCUUUUUUCUUCUCCACCUUGUUGUUCAUCCAGCAAACUGCACAACUGAUUGCCAGUGGCUGCUGAAAAGCCAAGGUCUGUUUGAAAAAUUUUGAAGGUUGUGGGAGGACUGAAGUUUGUCCCUUCCACUAUCAUCUCUACCUGCUGAAAAGCAGAAGAUGCUUCUUUUGUUUACUACAUGGGUGCCCUGAGCCAUGCCUCCCUCUGGAAGAGCCUCUCAUCUAUACAAAACUGAGGGAAUCUGGAACAGUUCCCAGCUCCAAGGAUUUUGUUUUGUGCAUUGAUUGAUAUCAAGUGGUUGCAAUUUACAUUCUUUACCUGCACUAGAGGCCAUCCUCACAGAGAUGCCUUCAACAGCCAAAUGCAUUCAUAACCUUUGCAGUGUUCAAAAGGACUGUCGCAAUAGUUGUGUUCAUGCUUACAUUCAUGAUACAACAUUUACUGAAGAAUAAAUUAAAUUGAUAAAGAUAGGAAAAUGAUAUUCUGGUUGAGUUACUAAACACUUGUAAUUAAGUAUGGAUAUCAUGCACAAGGUAUUAAUAUUGUGACUUUAGGGAAUCAAGUUUCUUAGUCCAGUUUUUCUUGAUAAUCUUAGUCUUAAAACUUCCCAGGAAGGUGAGGGGAGAGUACAAAUUGUCUAUGUGGAGAACAAUGCAUAUGGAAAAGUUGUGUGAGUUUGCAUACAUUGGAAGCUUGGCAUUAGAGAAUAGCCUUGUUCUCCAUCCUCAGCUCCAGCUUUGCUUCUCUCAGUUUUUGUCAGUCUCCGAUUGCUUUUUGCACCAAUUACAGUGAUAAAGUCAGUAGAAGAAGAAUACUCUUAUUAAAUAAAAUAUUUUAAGGGUACUGUGACCUGCUAAACAUCAAUAUUGCUAAGACUGAGAGACUAUUUUUAAUAAAUUGCUUAACCAGGAUUUUUUAAAUCUAAAUAAAUUGAAAUACUCUUUAUUUUGUGAAUGUACACACAUAUAUAUAAAGGCAUUUGAUUUUAUGGAAGUAAAUUGUUCCAAAAGAUUUACACCUGAGAAAGAUAAAAGCUGUAAAAUGUGUACUGUUUCAUUUGUGUCCUUUGUUUUUCACGUGUGGUGCCUUGGGUUGAACAAUCAUUCUAAAACCAUUAUAUCAGUGCACAAAGAUCUUUAUUCUAGGCAAAGAUACCUCUUGUGAAGAAAGAAGUGUGCACAGUAUGCAGACUGAGAAGUACCACAUGUCACCUCAUGGUUCAUCUCUAAAGGAAUAUGCAAGCUGGAUAUUGCUCAAGUUCUUUUCCUUCACCAUUUGCUGUCCACUUAAUGAAGACAAAGAUUGCCUCGUUUUUGGAAGGCAAUAAAUAAAGAAGAGCAACAGCUGGAAUUUAAGUCACUGAUAUUUGCAAGGUUUCAGGAGAAGUAAACUAGGAACUCCUUCAUUUGGAUGAGCAUCAGACAGGAGAUAACACUGAUCUGUCUGCAUGGCCAGUCGGAGUUGUCUCAUUGCUCAGAAUCAAAAAAGCCUUCAAUUAUGGGAAGGAAAAAAGAGUCAACAGCCAAUUUUUUAGAAUAUAGUUCACUUGUCACAGUCAUUCACAAGUUUUACUACCCACUUUUAUUUGCAAACUAAAACGUAGGCUGUGACAGUGUGAGGAUGAGAGUUCCACAUGGGCAUUUUAAAGGAAAAUAUAUAUGAACUUCCCUUCAACUUAGCCAGCCUGUACGAACUGCUUCUUACUUAUAUUAUUUUUCUGUAGCAGGCUUUUGGCAGGUUCCAAACGAAUCUAUAACGCAGAAGUGCUUGUGAAAAGUUGUAGAGAAUGCCCUACCAGUUGCUACUGUGCUUUUGGGAUGACAAGGCUUCUUUCAAGUUUGUAGCAGUUAAGGAAAGCAACCGAAGUUAUUAAUGUGUAGCACCUCCAAGUUGCUAUCUGGAUUCUUAUCUACAUUGCGCUUGUGUUAUAGAAACAUUUGUCAACUUCAAAUUUUUCUCCAAGCACAAGAUGCAUCUCUGUUAUCUGCAGAGUUGCACUGAGCCAUUUUCUAAGAGUUAUGAUUAUUAUCUCCACAUUCUCUGCAGUAGCUUCUAUCUCUUUUUGAAAGUGCACUGCAGUUGUCUUGAGCGCUGUUAAGUCUGUGUGGUCCCCUUAUGGUAUGUUUGCAAGGGUGGAUAGUGAUAGGACAAGGGGGAAUGGUUUUAAACUGAGACAGGGGAGGUUUAGCUUAGACAUUAGGAGGAAGUUUUUCACACAGAGGGUGGUGACGCACUGAAACAGGUUGCCCAAGGAGGUUGUGGGUGCCCCAUCCCUGGAGGCAUUCAAGGCCAGGCUGGAUGUGGCUCUGGGCAGCCUGGUCUGGUGGUUGGUGACCCUGCACAAAGCAGGGGGGUUGAAACUGGAUGAUCAUUGUGGUCC